AUGCCCAGGCUGGAGUACAGUGACAUGAUCAUAGCCCACUGCAGCCUUGACCUUUCUGUCUCAGCAGGAAGCAGUCCUCCCAUCUCAGCCUCCCAAGAAGCUACAGGGACAUGGAUCAAUCUGGAGAACAUCAUUCUCAGCAAACUGACACAAGAACAGAAAAUGAAACACCGCAUAUUCUCACUCAUAGGCGGGUGAUGAAAAAUGAGAACACAUGGACACAGAGAGGGCAGUACUAAACACUGGGGUCUAUUGG
rnacentral:lncRNA from 13 species